rnacentral:tRNA from 1 species
UGGGUUGUGGCUCAGUGGUAGAGUGCUUGCCUGGCAUGUUGGAGGCACUGGGUUCUAUCCUCAGCACCACAC